rnacentral:rRNA from 1 species
GAUGAACGCUAGCGGCAGGCCUAAUACAUGCAAGUCGAACGGUGUAGCAAUACACAGUGGCGCACGGGUGCGUAACACGUAUGCAACCUACCUUACAUUGGGGGAUAGCCUUUCGAAAGGGAGAUUAAUACCGCAUAAGACAGUAACUAGGCAUCUAGUAGCUGUUAAAGAUUUAUCGAUGUAAGCUGGGCAUGCGUCCAAUUAGCUAGUUGGCGAGGUAAUGGCUCACCAAGACGAUGAUUGGUAGGGGAACUGAGAGGUCAAUCCCCCACACUGGUACUGAGAUACGGGCCAGACUCCUACGGGAGGCAGCAGUAGGGAAUAUUGGGCAAUGGGCGCAAGCCUGACCCAGCCAUGCCGCGUGCAGGAAGAAGGCGUUAUGCGUUGUAAACUGCUUUUAUACAGGAAGAAACGACCCUUGCGAGGGGCAUUGACGGUACUGUAUGAAUAAGCACCGGCUAACUCCGUGCCAGCCGCCGCAGUAAAAC